GUGGGGAAUAUUGGACAAUGGGCGAAAGCCUGAUCCAGCCAUGCCGCGUGUGUGAAGAAGGUCUUCGGAUUGUAAAGCACUUUAAGUUGGGAGGAAGGGCAUUAACCUAAUACGUUAGUGUUUUGACGUUACCGACAGAAUAAGCACCGGCUAACUUCGUGCCAGCAGCCGCGGUAAUACGAAGGGUGCAAGCGUUAAUCGGAAUUACUGGGCGUAAAGCGCGCGUAGGUGGUUUUGUAAGUUGGAGGUGAAAUCCCCGGGCUCAACCUGGGAACUGCCUCCAAAACUGCAUGACUAGAGUACGGUAGAGGGUAGUGGAAUUUCCUGUGUAGCGGUGAAAUGCGUAGAUAUAGGAAGGAACACCAGUGGCGAAGGCGACUACCUGGACUGAUACUGACACUGAGGUGCGAAAGCGUGGGGAGCAAACAGGAUUAGAAACCCCUGUAGUCC
rnacentral:rRNA from 1 species